GGAUUAGAUACCCUGGUAGUCCACGCUGUAAACGAUGGGUACUAGGUUUGGUGGGUCUUGACCCCCGCCGAGCCGGCGCUAACGCACUAAGUACCCCGCCUGGGAAGUACGGUCGCAAGACUAAAACUCAAAGGAAUUGACGGGGGCCCGCACAAGCGGUGGAUCAUGUGGUUUAAUUCGAAGCAACGCGAAGAACCUUACCUGGAUUUGACAUCUCUGGACAACUGUAGAGAUACAGCUUUCGUAGCAAUACGACCGGAAGACAGGUGCUGCAUGGCUGUCGUCAGCUCGUGCCG
rnacentral:rRNA from 1 species